rnacentral:rRNA from 1 species
UACGGAGGGGGCUAGCGUUGUUCGGAUUUACUGGGCGUAAAGAGCGCGCAGGCGGUCGAUCAAGUCGAGUGUGAAAGCCCCCGGCUCAACUGGGGGAGGGUCAUUCGAUACUGAUCGACUCGAAGGCAGGAGAGGGUAGUGGAAUUCCCGGUGUAGUGGUAGAAAUGCGUAGAUAUCGGGAGGAACACCAGUGGCGAAGGCGACUACCUGGCCUGUUCUUGACGCUGAGGCGCGAAAGCUAGGGGAGCAAACGGG